CGCGAAUGGCUCAUUACAACAGCUGUAGUUUAUUGGAUCUUGAUUUCCUACUUGGAUACCUGUGGUAAUUCUAGAGCUAAUACACGCAAAAAGUCCUCUAGCAAUAGAGGAUGCAUUUAUUAGAACAAAACCAAUCGGUCUCGACCGUUUUUUGGUGAAUCUGAAUAACUCAGCCGAUCGCACGGUCUUUGUACCGGCGACGUAUCUUUCAAGUGUCUGCCUUAUCAACUUUCGAUGGUAGUUUAUGUGCCUACCAUGGUUGUAACGGGUAACGGAGAAUAAGGGUUCGACUCCGGAGAGGGAGCCUGAGAAACGGCUACCACAUCCAAGGAAGGCAGCAGGC
rnacentral:rRNA from 1 species